CCUACGGGAGGCAGCAGUGGGGAAUAUUGGACAAUGGGCGCAAGCCUGAUCCAGCCAUGCCGCGUGAGUGAUGAAGGGCCUAGGGUUGUAAAGCUCUUUUGUCCGGGACGAUAAUGACGGUACCGGAAGAAUAAGCCCCGGCUAACUUCGUGCCAGCAGCCGCGGUAAU
rnacentral:rRNA from 1 species